rnacentral:rRNA from 1 species
UACAGAGGUCUCAAGCGUUGUUCGGAUUCAUUGGGCGUAAAGGGCGCGUAGGCUGCGGGGCAAGUCGGGUGUGAAUCUCAGAGCUCAACUCUGAAACUGCACUCGAUACUGCUUUGCUUGAGGACUGGAGAGGAGAUUGGAAUUCACGGUGUAGCAGUGAAAUGCGUAGAUAUCGUGAGGAAGACCAGUGGCGAAGGCGGAUCUCGU